rnacentral:lncRNA from 1 species
AAAUAGAAGCUAAUGUUGGUGGAUUGCUAUCUGAGCUAUGUGCUUAUGGUAACUCAUGUGGAAAUAUUGAUUAUAGUACAGUAAAUUAUGUUUUAAAAAAUGAAAACAAUUAUAAUACUUGGAAUAUAAACAGUCGUAUUUUAAAUGAUGAUGUCAUUACAUCAUCAGGUGAUGAUAAUGAUUCGGAUACAAUAGAUGGUAUAAACGAAGGUGAUGUUGAUAGUAACCUAAGCGAAAAAAAACAUAAACAGGAAGAGGUAAUGGGAGAUAAAAACAAAAAGGAAAUGAACAAAAUCGAAAAUAUUGAAAAAGAAGGAAAAAAUGAGAGUGAAAAAAUGUGUGAUAGUAAGAGUGGAAAAAAGAGUGACAAAGAGAGUGACAAAGAGAGCGAAAACAAAAACGAGGGAGAAACUGUAGGAAAACCAGAUGAAAUCAAAAUAAAAAAACUGAUUAAUUUAGACAUGUUAGAAAUUAAUAAAAAUAGUAAAACAUAUGUUACUAAUUAUAAUAAUGAUAUCGCUGGUACUAAUAAAGUAAAUGAUGAUUUAUCUGUUGGGAUUGGUAUGGAAAAUUAUAUGAAAAAUGUUCAAAGCAGUGUACCCAUGUCUAUAUAUAAACUAAAUUCCAAUAUACAAUUAAAUUAUAAAAACUAUCAAACAAGUAAGAACCAUGUUAAUUUUUUAUCACUUAAGUCAAAACAAGAAGAAGAAACGAAAAUUUUGAUUAAAUAUUCAAAUUCACAAUCUGAAAUGGAAUUAAGUGAUGAAGAGUAUGAUGAUUUAAAUAGCAUUAAUUCUGUAACUUUAUAUGAUGAUGGUGUAAAAGUAGAAUAUGAAUACGAAGAUUUUGAAAAAAUAGGCAAGGGUGAUGAAGUUGAUUACUUAGACGGUACAAAUGUUAACAAGGAUGAAGAUUCCACAUCUAGCGAUUCAAGUACACAAACAAUAAUUGUAUAUGUAAUUAUAGGUUUAAUCGUUGUACUUUUAAUUCUUACCAUUUUUGUUCUUAUUAAAUUUAAUGUUAUAGGCAAAUUAAUAAUAUCAUUAAGAAAAAAAAAAGCAUAUAACAAAUCACUAAAAAUUAAUAAUAAUGAUGAAACUGAUAUUUAUAAGGAUGAGUUUUUUAACGAAACUGCUAACAAUUAAUAGAUAUAGACAAAUGGAAUAAAAUUGUACACGAUCAGGAUGUGGUGUAUAUG